rnacentral:rRNA from 1 species
UGGGGAAUAUUGCACAAUGGGCGAAAGCCUGAUGCAGCAACGCCGCGUGAAGGAUGAAGGCCUUUGGGUCGUAAACUUCUGUCCUUGGGGAAGAAAAAAAUGACGGUACCCCUGGAGGAAGUCCCGGCUAACUACGUGCCAGCAGCCGCGGUAAUACGUAGGGGGCGAGAGUUAUCCGGAAUUAUUGGGCGUAAAGAGUACGUAGGUGGUUUUUUAAGAGCAGGGUUUAAGGCGAUGGCUCAACUGUCGUUCGCUCUGUGAACUGGAAGACUUGAGUACAGGAGAGGAAAUCGGAAUUCCGAGUGUAGCGGUGAAAUGCAUAGAUAGUAGGAGGAACACCAGUGGCGAAGGCGGCUUUCUGGACUGUAACUGACACUGAGGUACGAAAGCGUGGGGAGCAAACA